AAAUAAUUGAUGCUUGAAUCAAAACUUUUGGCUAACUUAAACCUCUUAAAUCAAAGAGCUUUUCAGCUGAUUGGGUUCCAGGAGGGUGAUUGCUUUAAACCACUUUUAGAUUUACAAGCUUACGAAGUUUCAAAGAAGUUAUUAGAGCGUCAAACUUGCUUUAAUAAAAACACUUUUUAAGCUAGAGAGGCCCUUCUUGCUAAACGGGGCUUUGAUACAAAUGGUUUUUCUCAGAGUAUAAAAGAGUUUAUCGAGCGGAGGAAACCUUUAAAAUUUAUCGCGUUACAAGGUUACUUGCAAUUUAAAAAGGAGGAGGCUAUAAGGCAAAUUUUUGAUAAAUCUGAUGACCUA